AGAAGAUAAAAAAAAUAAAGCCCAAAAUGACAAGUCGACCUACGUCGCCACCGCCCAAACCCGAUGACGAUCUGGACCUUUCUUCCUGACCAGCUCCGUUCACUAAUCAAGCUAAAGCUGCCACCACCGUCGCUGG